rnacentral:rRNA from 1 species
UACGAAGGGGGCUAGCGUUGCUCGGAAUUACUGGGCGUAAAGGGAGCGUAGGCGGAUAGUUUAGUCAGAGGUGAAAGCCCAGGGCUCAACCUUGGAAUUGCCUUUGAUACUGGCUAUCUUGAGUACGGAAGAGGUAUGUGGAACUCCGAGUGUAGAGGUGAAAUUCGUAGAUAUUCGGAAGAACACCAGUGGCGAAGGCGGCUCACUGGCCCGGUACUGACGCUGGGAUACGAAAGCGUGGGGAGCAAACGGGG